rnacentral:rRNA from 1 species
CCUACGGGAGGCAGCAGUGGGGAAUAUUGGACAAUGGGCGCAAGCCUGAUCCAGCCAUGCCGCGUGAGUGAUGAAGGCCCUAGGGUUGUAAAGCUCUUUCACCGGUGAAGCGGUAACCGGAGAAGAAGCCCCGGCUAACUUCGUGCCAGCAGCCGCGGUAAUACGAAGGGGGCUAGCGUUGUUCGGAAUUACUGGGCGUAAAGCGCACGUAGGCGGACUGGUCAGUUAGGGGUGAAAUCCCGGGGCUCAACCCCGGAACUGCCUUUAAUACUGCCAGUCUAGAGUCCGAGAGAGGUGAGUGGAAUUCCGAGUGUAGAGGUGAAAUUCGUAGAUAUUCGGAGGAACACCAGUGGCGAAGGCGGCUCACUGGCUGGACUGACGCUGAGGUGCGAAAGCGUGGGGAGCAAACAGGAUUAGAUACCCUUGUAGUC